UGACCGCUGGCGGCGUGCCUAAUACAUGCAAGUCGAGCGAACAGACGAGGAGCUUGCUCCUCUGACGUUAGCGGCGGACGGGUGAGUAACACGUGGAUAACCUACCUAUAAGACUGGGAUAACUUCGGGAAACCGGAGCUAAUACCGGAUAAUAUAUUGAACCGCAUGGUUCAAUAGUGAAAGACGGUUUUGCUGUCACUUAUAGAUGGAUCCGCGCCGCAUUAGCUAGUUGGUAAGGUAACGGCUUACCAAGGCAACGAUGCGUAGCCGACCUGAGAGGGUGAUCGGCCACACUGGAACUGAGACACGGUCCAGACUCCUACGGGAGGCAGCAGUAGGGAAUCUUCCGCAAUGGGCGAAAGCCUGACGGAGCAACGCCGCGUGAGUGAUGAAGGUCUUCGGAUCGUAAAACUCUGUUAUUAGGGAAGAACAAAUGUGUAAGUAACUAUGCACGUCUUGACGGUACCUAAUCAGAAAGCCACGGCUAACUACGUG
rnacentral:rRNA from 1 species